GAACUGACAUGAAACUGUGGCUAAGUGAGACGGGCCCUGGGAGAGGGUCUGAAGUACUUCAUCCCCACAUAGAAGCGGGUAGUUGUCUGGGCCAACAUCUAGACAUGGGGCAGAUCCCAUCAGCCCCAGUGGGGAUGCAGGCCCUGGGUCACUAUCACCCAGUGCUGGAGCUGUCUGAAUGCACAAUGGACUGGAUCCUUCUGCUCCACCAGCUGGUGAUGGCAUCAUAGGAGUGGGAGGUGCAGGUACAGGCACAGGAGAUCUGACGAUGAUGCCAAGGUGGUCAUCCAUCCAAACAGCAGUCAAGCUCAGCUCAUAGGAAGCUAAGCAAGCGGAUUCAGUUAAGCACAGCCAUAUACGACUGCAUCACUCUAAUAAAAAGACACAAAAAGGCUCAACUGUAUUAAUAAUAUAGUAGCUGUUCCCCUACUAUUUUCAUUAUUUUAUAGAAGUGAGAGACAUUGUAAUGUAGCAAAUGGCCAUCGUGGGGACAACAGAAGUGUGACCAAAUCUCAUUGUAUAUUUAUAUAUUAAAAGACACAGAGAAUCUCAACCAAAGCCCUACAUUCCCCAAACUUUGGUAUAGUAUAGAUGGAAAUUCCAUGUUCCUAACUAUACAUCUGUCCCCCAGGCCUUUUGCUUUUUCUGUCCAUGCAAAGAAGAAAAAAAAUAACUCAUUUGAAGAACAGAGUUACACCACUCUAGGAAGAAUCAAGACCUUCAUAGUGGGCACAGCUACUAUAAAUUUCCCAAUUCCAAUUUUCUACAAUUUUUUUAAAGGAAAGAUGGUUUCUAAAGUCAAGAUCUAGAUGAACUUUGUACUCUGGAACCCAUUUCUUAAUUUCUUAAGCACCACUUAAAUAUUCUAGAAAAGGUUUUGCUUCUGGUUUUAAUACAUGCAUAAUUAAAAAAUACCUGACUCAACUUUGCAUGAAAGACUCAGAAUUAAAAAUUGGUCGUUUAAAAAUUUUAAACCGUAGAAAUUAUGUAUUGUACAUAAACAAUUUCAGUAGACACAGAAACAUUUGGAAAUUAAAAAUUCACUAUAACCCUA